UACGUAGGGAGCAAGCGUUAUCCGGAAUUAUUGGGUGUAAAGGGUGCGUAGACGGGAGUCUAAGUUAGUUGUGAAAUCCCUCGGCUCAACUGAGGAACUGCAACUAAAACUGGACAUCUUGAGUGCAGGAGAGGAAAGUGGAAUUCCUAGUGUAGCGGUGAAAUGCGUAGAUAUUAGGGGGAACACCAGUGGCGAAGGCGACUUUCUGGACUGUAACUGACGUUGAGGCACGAAAGUGUGGGGAGCAAACAGG
rnacentral:rRNA from 1 species